CUCCACUGAUAUGUGUGGAGAGAAAGAGUAUCCAAGAUCUUUUUAUGAGUUUCACAUCAGGGCGUCUUUAUCACCAAGAGGAAACAAUGGUUCGAUACUAUAGAAUACCUAUUCUGCUGAUUGAAUUUUCACAGGAUAAAAGUUUCUCCUUUCGGUUGCAGUCUGCAAGUGAUAUUGGUGAUGAUGUCACACCAAAUAGUUUUAUAUCUAAGCUGUCGUGGCUUGUUCUACACUUUCCCCGGUUGCGAAUCAUCUGGUCUCGCAGUCUGCAUGCUACUGCUGACAUAUUUGCUACUCUUAAGGCAAAUCAGAUGAACCUGACGAGAGCAAAGCAACUACAGUUGGUGUACCCUCUGAAGAUGGAAUUGUGGAGGACGACGUGAGGGCUGAAAACUACAAUACGUAUGCGGUGGAAUUUUGAGACGACUCCCGGGUGUUACAGAUUUCAAAUUACAGGGCCAUAAUGGAUGGGUGUAAGAGCUUGGCGGAACUCGCUAGGGGAUUUUGGUCUAGCAGAAAUGUAUGAGCAUAGUUCCAUCAUUGCAAGAGAAGCAACUAUACCAGCUGGAACAGUGGGAUAUGUUGCUCCGGUACGUUUAUUCAGGUGUGUUUGCAGCUUUGGUGUGGUGGUGUUAGAGGUGGCAACGUGAAGAAAAUCAGUGGAGGAUGAUGGAACGUUGGUUGUUGAUUGGGUUUGGAGCAUGUGGGAAAAUGGGAAACUGCUAGGUUGAUGCGGCAGUUUGAUAUGGUAGAGAUGGAGAGGAUGCUGAUGACUGGACUUGCUUGUGUGCACCCAAACCAUGUGAAGAGGCCAAUGGUGAAGGAAGCUACUAGGAUUCGUAAAGGCGAAAAGCCUCUUACUCUGCUGCCACCAAGAAAACCAAGGGUAAAAUCUGUCUUUUAACACCAUUAACAAUCGCCUGUCUUUUAACACCAUUAACAAUCGCACUAGU